UUAGAGUUUGAUCCUGGCUCAGGAUGAACGCUAGCGGGAGGCUUAACACAUGCAAGUCGAGGGGUAACAGAGGUAGCAAUACUUGCUGACGACCGGCGUACGGGUGAGUAACGCGUAUGCAACCUGCCCUAUACAGGAGGAUAGCCCGAAGAAAUUCGGAUUAAUACUCCAUGCAGCAUAUUUUUCGCAUGAUAAAUAUGUUAAAGAUUUAUCGGUAUAGGGUGGGCAUGCGUCCCAUUAGUUAGUUGGUGAGGUAAUGGCUCACCAAGGCUUCGAUGGGUAUGGGGUCUAAAAGGAUGGUCCCACACACUGGCACUGAGACACGGGCCAGACUCCUACGGGAGGCAGCAGUGAGGAAUAUUGGUCAAUGGGCGAGAGCCUGAACCAGCCAUCCCGCGUGCAGGAUGACAGUCCUAGUGAUUGUAAACUGCUUUUCUAUAAGAUGAAUAAGGACUACGUGUAGUUCGAUGACCGUAUUAUAGGAAUAAGCAUCGGCUAACUCCGUGCCAGCAGCCGCGGUAAUACGGAGGAUGCAAGCGUUAUCCGGAUUUAUUAGGUUUAAAGGGUGCGUAGGCUGUUUUGUAAGUCAGCGGUGAAAGACCGGGGCCCAACUCCGGAAGUGCCGUUGAUACUGCAUUGCUAGAGUUCCCCUGCCGUGGGAGGAAUGAGUGGUGUAGCGGUGAAAUGCAUAGAUAUCACUCAGAACACCGAUUGCGAAGGCAGCUUACUAAGCCAUAACUGACGCUCAAGCACGAAGGCGUGGGGAUCAAACAGGAUUAGAUACCCUGGUAGUCCACGCAGUAAACGAUGAUUACUGGCUGUUUGCGAUAUAUUGUAAGCGGCUGAGCGAAAGCGUUAAGUAAUCCACCUGGGGAGUACGUUCGCAAGAAUGAAACUCAAAGGAAUUGACGGGGGCCCGCACAAGCGGAGGAACAUGUGGUUUAAUUCGAUGAUACGCGAGGAACCUUACCCGGGCGUGAAUUGCAUCUGAAUAUAUUGGAAACUUUAUAGCCAGCGAUGGCAGAUGUGAAGGUGCUGCAUGGUUGUCGUCAGCUCGUGCCGUGAGGUGUAGGCUUAAGUGCCAUAACGAGCGCAACCCUCAUUGUUAGUUACCAUCAGGUAGUGCUGGGGACUCUAACAAGACUGCCGGCGUAAGCUGUGAGGAAGGUGGGGAGGACGUCAAAUCAGCACGGCCCUUACAUCCAGGGCUACACACGUGUUACAAUGGCCGGUACAAAGGGCAGCUACACAGCGAUGUGAUGCUAAUCUCCAAAUCCGGUCUCAGUUCGGAUCGAAGUCUGCAACCCGACUUCGUGAAGCUGGAUUCGCUAGUAAUCGCGCAUCAGCCAUGGCGCGGGGAAUACGUUCCCGGGCCUUGCACACACCGCCCGUCAA
rnacentral:rRNA from 1 species